rnacentral:rRNA from 1 species
UACGUAGGCAGCGAGCGUUGUUCGGAAUUACUGGGCGUAAAGAGUGUGUAGGCGGUGUUCCAAGUUCGGUGUGAAAUCUCCCGCUUAACUGGGAGGGUGCGCCGAAAACUGGAAUGCUCGAGCGUGGGAGAGGAAAGCGGAAUUCCUGGUGUAGCGGUGAAAUGCGUAGAUAUCAGGAGGAACACCAGCGGUGUAGACGGCUUUCUGGACCAUUGCUGACGCUGGAGACACGAAAGCGUGGGUAGCAAACAGGG